rnacentral:rRNA from 1 species
UACGUAGGGGCAAGCGUUGUCCGGAAUCAUUGGGCGUAAAGAGCGUGUAGGCGGCCCGAUAAGUCCGCCGUGAAAGUCCAGGGCUCAACCCUGGAAUGCCGGUGGAAACUGUCGGGCUGGAGUCCGGAAGAGGCGAGUGGAAUCCUGGUGUAGCGGUGAAAUGCGCAGAUAUCAGGAGGAACACCAAUGGCGAAGGCAGCUCGCUGGGACGGUACUGACGCUGGAGACGCGAAAGCGUGGGGAGCGAACAGGAUUAG